rnacentral:rRNA from 1 species
GAUCCUGGCUCAGGAUGAACGCUAGCGACAGGCUUAACACAUGCAAGUCGAGGGGCAGCACGGGAGUAGCAAUACAACUGGUGGCGACCGGCGCACGGGUGAGUAACGCGUAUGCAACCUACCUAUCAGAGGGGAAUAACCCGGCGAAAGUCGGACUAAUACCGCAUAAAACAGGGGCACCGCAUGGUGAUAUUUGUUAAAGAAAUUCGCUGAUAGAUGGGCAUGCGUUCCAUUAGGUAGUUGGUGAGGUAACGGCUCACCAAGCCGACGAUGGAUAGGGGAACUGAGAGGUUGGUCCCCCACACUGGUACUGAGACACGGACCAGACUCCUACGGGAGGCAGCAGUGAGGAAUAUUGGUCAAUGGGCGAGAGCCUGAACCAGCCAAGUCCGCGUGAAGGAAGAAGGAUCUAUGGUUCGUAAACUUCUUUUGCAGGGGAAUAAAGUGCGGGACGUGUCCUGUUUUGUAUGUACCCUGAGAAUAAGGAUCGGCUAACUCCGUGCCAGCCGCCGC